rnacentral:tRNA from 1 species
GCUGUUGUGGCUCAGUGGUAGAGUGCUUGCCUCACAUGUGUGAGGCACUGGGUUCAAUUCUCAGCAUCACA